AACACUGUUAACCUGCGGUACCUGCGGAGGGAUCAUUAAACAACUAGGCCGUAACAAGCCUUGAACCCUUCUCUACGCGCACCCUUACCUUCUCCUUCGGCGGGUCAGCGCCCGCCGUCGGAACCAACAAACCCCCUUUUGCAUCUAGCAUACCACCCGUUCCGAUACAAAACACAAUCGUUACAACUUUUAACAAUGGAUCU
rnacentral:misc_RNA from 1 species